rnacentral:rRNA from 1 species
GCAAGUCGAACGGCAGCACGGGAGCAAUCCUGGGUGGCGAGUGGCGAACGGGUGAGUAAUAUAUCGGAACGUGCCCAGUCGUGGGGGAUAACGCAGCGAAAGCUGUGCUAAUACCGCAUACGAUCUACGGAUGAAAGCGGGGGAUCGCAAGACCUCGCGCGAUUGGAGCGGCCGAUAUCAGAUUAGCUAGUUGGUGGGGUAAAAGCUCACCAAGGCGACGAUCUGUAGCUGGUCUGAGAGGACGACCAGCCACACUGGAACUGAGACACGGUCCAGACUCCUACGGGAGGCAGCAGUGGGGAAUUUUGGACAAUGGGGGCAACCCUGAUCCAGCCAUGCCGCGUGAGUGAAGAAGGCCUUCGGGUUGUAAAGCUCUUUCGGCCGGGAAAAAAUCGCUUGGGUUAAUACCCUGAGUGGAUGAUGGUACCGGAAUAAGAAGCACCGGCUAACUACGUGCCAGCAGCCGCGGUAAUACGUAGGGUGCGAGCGUUAAUCGGAAUUACUGGGCGUAAAGCGUGCGCAGGCGGUUUUGUAAGACAGGCGUGAAAUCCCCGGGCUCAACCUGGGAGCUGCGUUUGUGACUGCAAGGCUAGAGUACGGCAGAGGGGGGUGGAAUUCCACGUGUAGCAGUGAAAUGCGUAGAGAUGUGGAGGAACACCAAUGGCGAAGGCAGCCCCCUGGGUCGAUACUGACGCUCAUGCACGAAAGCGUGGGGAGCAAACAGGAUUAGAUACCCUGGUAGUCCACGCCCUAAACUAUGUCAACUAGGUGUUGGGUGGGUAAAACCAUUUGGUACCGUAGCUAACGCGUGAAGUUGACCGCCUGGGGAGUACGGCCGCAAGGUUAAAACUCAAAGGAAUUGACGGGGACCCGCACAAGCGGUGGAUGAUGUGGAUUAAUUCGA